rnacentral:rRNA from 1 species
GACGAACGCUGGCGGCGUGCUUAACACAUGCAAGUCGAACGGAAAGGCCCUGCUUUUGUGGGGUGCUCGAGUGGCGAACGGGUGCGUAACACGUGAGUAACCUGACCUUGACUUUGGGAUAACUUCAGGAAACUGGGGCUAAUAUCGGAUAGGAGCUCCUGCUGCAUGGUGGGGGUUGGAAAGUUUCUGCGGGUGGGGAUGGACUCGCGGCUUAUCAGCUUGUUGGUGGGGUAGUGGCUUACCAAGGCUUUGACGGGUAGCCGGCCUGUGAGGGUGACCGGCGACAUGGGGCCUGAGAUACGGCCCAGACGCCUACAUGGGGCAGCAGGGGCGAAUAUGGCACAAUGGUCGGAAGCCGGAGGCAGCAACGCCGCGUGCGGGAUGACGGCCUUCGGGUUGUAAACCGCUUUCGCCUGUUACGAAGCUGGAGUGACGGUAAUGGGUAAAGAAGCACCGGCUAACUACGUG